ACAAGCAGCAAAAGAUAUAAACGGCACUUGGCAGUUCAUACUCAACGGCAAGUCAUUUCAAGGAUUUGUAGUAGAAAUAUGCAAAAAAAGAUGUCAAGAAGGAAUUUAUAUUAGUGACUACGAACUCAAAUGCACCCAAAAAUAUGUAUACAAGAAAAUGGUGUACUUGGAUAUGCAGCAUAGAAUAUUAAAAUAUGACAAUUUUGAAGUACCUAAUUGUUGUUCCUGUAGCUUAUUAUUAGAGUAACUAAUGUGUAGGUGCUUGGUUUAUUGCGCGGAUCGUUGUAUGCUGCAAACAAUUUUCAUUUAUGUGAAAGUGACGCAUUAGUCGUACCUAUAUAGACUGACAAACAGUGAAUUCUUUAUUAUCAAAUACUAAAGAAAACCUUUAGAAAAAUGAUCUUACAGAAUGAAGAAAUUUAAUUAAGCAUAAUAAGUUGAAGCAACUAUUAAUAACUAUUUGUGUGUUGUGUUUAAGUACGUUUUUAUUAAAAAUUUAAAAUUUGUUAAUUUGUUUGUAUUUAUUUAACUUAGUUGUAAUUAUAGAUAAUCUAAGAUCGAAUUUAAAUACUUCUUAGACCAAAA